rnacentral:rRNA from 1 species
GACGAACGCUGGCGGCGUGCCUAAUACAUGCAAGUAGAACGCUGAAGGAGGAGCUUGCUCUUCUGGAUGAGUUGCGAACGGGUGAGUAACGCGUAGGUAACCUGCCUGGUAGCGGGGGAUAACUAUUGGAAACGAUAGCUAAUACCGCAUAACAGUAGAUGUUGCAUGACAUUUACUUAAAAGGUGCAAUUGCAUCACUACCAGAUGGACCUGCGUUGUAUUAGCUAGUUGGUGGGGUAACGGCUCACCAAGGCGACGAUACAUAGCCGACCUGAGAGGGGGAUCGGCCACACUGGGACUGAGACACGGCCCAGACUCCUACGGGAGGCAGCAGUAGGGAAUCUUCGGCAAUGGACGGAAGUCUGACCGAGCAACGCCGCGUGAGUGAAGAAGGGUUUCGGAUCGUAAAGCCCUGUUGUAAGAGAAGAACGAGUGUGAGAGUGGAAAGUUCACACUGUGACGGUAUCUUACCAGAAAGGGACGGCUAACUACGUG